UCGAUUGAGUUUGAUCAUGGCUCAGGAUGAACGCUGGCGGUAUGCUUAACACAUGCAAGUCGAACGGAACUCUUCGGAGUUCAGUGGCGGACGGGUGAGUAACGCGUGAGAAUCUGGCUUCAGGUUCGGGACAACCAUUGGAAACGAUGGCUAAUACCGGAUGUGCCGAAGGGUGAAAGAUUAAUCGCCUGAAGAUGAGCUCGCGUCUGAUUAGCUAGUUGGUGGGGUAAGAGCCUACCAAGGCGACGAUCAGUAACUGGUCUGAGAGGAUGACCAGUCACACUGGGACUGAGACACGGCCCAGACUCCUACGGGAGGCAGCAGUGGGGAAUUUUCCGCAAUGGGCGAAAGCCUGACGGAGCAAUACCGCGUGAGGGAGGAAGGCUCUUGGGUCGUAAACCUCUUUUCUCAGGGAAGAACACAAUGACGGUACCUGAGGAAUAAGCAUCGGCUAACUCCGUGCCAGCAGCCGCGGUAAUGCGGAGGAUGCAAGCGUUAUCCGGAAUGAUUGGGCGUAAAGCGUCCGCAGGUGGCGAUGUAAGUCUGCUGUUAAAGAGUGAGGCUCAACCUCAUAAGAGCAGUGGAAACUACAUAGCUAGAGUACGUUCGGGGCAGAGGGAAUUCCUGGUGUAGCGGUGAAAUGCGUAGAGAUCAGGAAGAACACCAGUGGCGAAGGCGCUCUGCUAGGCCGUAACUGACACUGAGGGACGAAAGCUAGGGGAGCGAAUGGGAUUAGAUACCCCAGUAGUCCUAGCCGUAAACGAUGGA
rnacentral:rRNA from 1 species